AGCGAACGCUGGCGGCGUGCUUAACACAUGCAAGUCGAACGUGAAAUGUAGCAAUACAGAGUAAAGUGGCGUACGGGUGAGUAACACGUGGGUAAUCUACCAAAGAGCCUGGAAUAACCGACCGAAAGGUUGGCUAAUACUGGAUAGUUCAAAUGAAAUAUAAUGUUUCGAUUGGGAAAGGGAGCGAGCAAUCGCCUUCACUUUUUGAUGAGCCCGCGUCUGAUUAGCUAGUUGGUAGGGUAAUGGCCUACCAAGGCGACGAUCAGUAGCUGGUCUGAGAGGAUGAUCAGCCACACUGGAACUGAAACACGGUCCAGACUCCUACGGGAGGCGGCAGUGGGGAAUCUUGCGCAAUGGACGAAAGUCUGACGCAGCCACGCCGCGUGAGUGAAGAAGGCCUUCGGGUUGUAAAGCUCUGUCGGAAGGGACAAAAACGGUUAAGGUUAAUAGCCUUGGAUCUUGAUGGUACCUUCAAAGGAAGCACCGGCUAACUUCGUGCCAGCAGCCGCGGUAA
rnacentral:rRNA from 1 species